rnacentral:lncRNA from 1 species
AAUACAAGUGCACUUCUCACGAACGCACGCACGUACAUCCUAUACCUUUGAGCAUCUCCAAAGAACUGGCACAUCUCUGCACUAUACUCAAAACUGUCAUGUACACUGCUGAGAUUUUUUCAAACAAAUUAACAGCCUUUUGACUUAUGAGGAAUUCUUGAUACAUCAUCAUUAAUUUGCUCGGAAGCUUUUCUUUUGUAUUAACAAAUUGACAGCAAACUCAUCGGCACGAACUGAACUGAUGCACGAGUGCGAGUCAGAACCUAUAACAGCACUACAGCUACAGCAAGGGGCCGGCUUAUCUGCUUCAGGCCACUCAUGAUGCUGUACUACUGUGUCUACUGAGGCAGCAGCGAUCAUGCUUCAGUGCGCGAAAUAGGUGACGAAGAGCGCAGCGAACAUGAGCAGGUAUGCGAUCGCCUGAUCAAUGGCCUUGGCAUCCACCACCCGCGCCGCCGUCGCUGGUUUGUCCUGCGCCAUGGAGAGCUGCAUGAGCCCGGAGAAGAAGAAGGCCGUGAACAGCAUCACGUACGCCUUCAUGGAUGCCAUUAGUUCACACCGCGCUGCUGAAGAAGCUGAAGAAGAAUGAAAAUGCAAAUGCGCCUGCGAAGCUCUGUGAUUUGUUUGGAGAUGGAAAGAAAUUGGAGGGCACGCAUAUAUAUAGAAUAUAGAUGCAGUACAUGGGCAAAGGUGCGAUGAAGAUGAACUCUCAGUGUGCUUAGUUUGGCCGGAGGACUGAAG